GGGGAAUAUUGGACAAUGGGGGCAACCCUGAUCCAGCCAUGCCGCGUGUGUGAAGAAGGCCUUCGGGUUGUAAAGCACUUUCAGUGGUGAGGAAGGGUGUGUUGUUAAUAGCAGCAUACAUUGACGUUAGCCACAGAAGAAGCACCGGCUAACUCCGUGCCAGCAGCCGCGGUAAUACGGAGGGUGCGAGCGUUAAUCGGAAUUACUGGGCGUAAAGCGCACGUAGGCGGUUUGUUAAGCAAGAUGUGAAAGCCCCGGGCUCAACCUGGGAAUAGCAUUUUGAACUGGCAAGUUAGAGUUUUGAAGAGGGUGGUAGAAUUUCCUGUGUAGCGGUGAAAUGCGUAGAUAUAGGAAGGAAUACCAGUGGCGAAGGCGGCCACCUGGUCAAAAACUGACGCUGAGGAGCGAAAGCGUGGGGAGCAAAC
rnacentral:rRNA from 1 species